UCGGAUUUACCUGAGACGUGUUGCAUAGGCGUAGCGAAUCGAGCGAAGCUAGCCAAUCUAGCCGGAAGUGUAAAGAGCGCGCCCCUACAAGCUAGCGAACCUAGACCCCUAGCGUAGCAAAGCUAGCGGCCGCUGGAGGUCCUACGCUUGCUAUUCAAAAUGGCCGACUUUGUUGUCGGUUUCAAGUUUGCAGAUGAGAGUUUCUUUGAUGCUCCCGUUAAAAAGGAGUAUUGGACCGGAAACAAAGUGAAAUGAAUGUGGGAAAUCAAUGGACCAAGGGGCAUACUUUUCCUCAUGGACACUUAUGCCAAACAUAAGGAACAAUUUGCAAUUCCAACUUGAAAAUAGAGGUAUGGAAGAGGAUUGCUUCGGAAAUGGCAGCCUCAGGAUGCCACUUUGCUCCAGCAGCACUUGAGAAAAAAAUGGAGCAAUAUGAAAAUAUGGUACAAAGCUAUAUUAGAUUUCAACAAGAAAACGGGCCAGGGAAGAUCACGAUGGAAUUUCUAUUCCAGAAUGGCUGAAAUCUUGGAAGGAGACCCUUUGUUCAUCCCACCACUGACAUCAUCACUGGGGGGUGUAAAAGUAAACACUCUCUCCGAGAUCUCCAAUACCCAGCAAUGUGCCACCCCUACAAAGAAGCAAGAACAGCAAGGAAUGUCUCAGGAGACUCCUCACCUCUCCCAGUAUCGGUUUAUUAGUACGACCCUACUGAAUAAAGGAUAUUGUCACUGUCUUGGUUUUAGUACUAAAUAAAAAAACUUACACGCCCUUACAAAUGGUUUUUUUUUCACUGUGACCGUUAAAAACCAAAAAAUCCUGAUUUACCUGAUAAUCAUGUACACAAUGAAGCACACU